AUGGCAGAAAGAAAAGGGAAGAGCAUCGCACAGAAAAUAACGCGCACAAUCUCACCAGACGAGACGAGACACCUUUUCAUUUCUCAUUCGCCAUUUUUCCCGUACAAUCGCAAUUCCUCUCCAUUCCGAAUCCCUACAAUCCCUUUCUUCUCUCACGUUACAACUCCGAUUUCACGGUUUGCGAAAUGCCCCAAGCAUAGAACACGAGGGGUUUUGAAAUUUGAAUAUGCAUAG